GGCUGCGUGGUGUAGUGGUUUGAGUGUUGGACUAUGACUCUGGAGAGCAGUGUUUGAAUCUCUCCUUGGCCA